AGGACGAACGCUGGCGGCGUGCUUAACACAUGCAAGUCGAACGAGGCCCUGCCUUCGGGCAGGUGACCUAGUGGCGAACGGGUGAGUAACACGUGGGCAACCUACCCUCAGCUCUGGGAUAACCCCGGGAAACCGGAGCUAAUACCGGAUACGACCAGGGACGACAUCGUCCCUGGUGGAAAGUUUUUCGGCUGAGGAUGGGCCCGCGGCCUAUCAGCUUGUUGGUGGGGUAAUGGCCUACCAAGGCGACGACGGGU
rnacentral:rRNA from 1 species